rnacentral:lncRNA from 1 species
AGACCCAGGUUUGUUUCGUUUAAAGGAGGAUGCAAUUCUGUCCGUGAAUGCAUUUUCUCUAAAUGUUGGCUUCAUCCCUCCUUUGGUAGAGCAUGUCAACGGAUUUGCUAAUGUGAGUUGCUUUCAGACUAGUCUGUGGUUUUUCUUUUUUAUUUCUUUCCUCCCCUUUGGGCAUUUUUUUUUUUUCUGCUUCAAAAAAGGAGAUAAUUCUUUCUACAAGUAUCUGGUAAAAGAAAUUCCUCUAGGUCCUCUUUUUAAAAAGCGUUUGCCUAAGUCGGGUUAUCUUUUGUCUUUAUCACUUCAUAAAGUAGAGCAAUUAAAGAUGUGAUGUUGCAUGGGCGGAAAGGGUGGAUCCAUUAUACGGCGACAUAAUACGCUAUAUUCUCGCCUGAAAGUUUGAAGCUAAAUUACGAUUUCGCUUUUUCUAGACUUAAAAAUCAAUAUUUUCUCAAUUAAAGCGAAUUUUAAUGCUUUACUUGCGAGUUGUUAAAGGCGCUGUAAAUUGUAUUGUAAUGCUCUUGACUUCGGAGUAGAUGCAGGAGACGGGUUGAUUCUCGUGGUCUUUUUCCUCUCGAGGAACCUAGCCCAGGAACAUCCCAUGGUUUCAUAUCAAAUUGAAGCAACAAAGGGCAAAGAAGGGAAAACAGAAGCAAAGAAAACUGUUUCAAAAGUCUUGGAAUUGCUACUGUUAAAAGGCUGCGGUUCAUUUCUGAUUUCCUCAUCUUUUGCUACAAAGGAAAAAGAAAUCCAAUGAUGUGUCUACCUUUGGUGAGAAGAAAACACGAGCAACAGCAGUGUAGGCAGAAACUGCAGGCUGUUCAGAAUCCAAUUCUCUGGAUAUUGGCAUGCUACAUUCAAUGUCCAGCUACAUUAAGUGUCCAUCUAUCAAAAUACUAG